rnacentral:rRNA from 1 species
GAUGAACGCUGGCGGCGUGCCUAAUACAUGCAAGUCGAGCGAACAGACGAGGAUCUUUCUCCUCUGACGUUAGCGGCGGACGGGUGAGUAACACGUGGAUAACCUACCUAUAAGACUGGGAUAACUGCGGGAAACCGGAGCUAAUACCGGAUAAUAUAUUGAACCGCAUGGUUCAAUAGUGAAAGACGGUUUUGCUGUCACUUAUAGAUGGAUCCGCGCCGCAUUAGCUAGUUGGUAAGGUAACGGCUUACCAAGGCAACGAUGCGUAGCCGACCUGAGAGGGUGAUCGGCCACACUGGAACUGAGACACGCUCCAGACUCCUAAGGGAGGCAGCAGUAGGGACUCUUCCACAAUGGGCGAAAGCCUGACGGAGCAAAGCCGCGUGAGUGAUGAAGGUCUUCGGAUCGUAAAACUCUGUUAUUAGGGAAGAACAAAUGUGUAAGUAACUAUGCACGUCUUGACGGUACCUAAUCAGAAAGCCACGGCUAACUACGUG